rnacentral:rRNA from 1 species
UACGUAGGUGGCAAGCGUUGUCCGGAGUUAUUGGGCGUAAAGCGCGCGCAGGCGGUGCGGUAAGUCUAUGGUGGAAAGCGCUCGGCUUAACUGGGCGAGGGCCGUGGAGACUGCCGGACUGGAGGGGAGCAGAGGCGAGUGGAAUCCGGGUGUAGUGGUGAAAUGCGUAGAGAUCCGGGAGGAACACCAGUGGCGAAAGGCGGCUCGCUGGGCUCGAACCUGACGCUGAGGCGCGGAAAGCGUGGGGAGCGA